CUAAUCUAUAUCUAUUUACGUUAUGUAAAAAACUACUAAUGUAUACCUAUUUGUACAUUAUCCAACUGAUAAAAUUUUAAAAAGAAACAAACAUGAUUGUAAUCGACCAAGUUAGAAUUAUACAAGUAUAUAGAGUAAACCAAAGGACUAUGUUGAAAACGUUUGCUUUUAUGGUUCAGAAAGUUUGGAGUAGGCUUGUGCAAUUUAAGAAUUUUUCAAAAAUAUCCUGUGUUCCCCCUCCUUUUGAUUUGAUCAACAUAUUCCAAUUCAUGUUUUUAUCAUUUGAAAGUAAUUGUUUUAAUUAAAAGAACAGUUUUUCACAAUUUUCACAAGGUUUGCAUUAUUUUUCUAGUUAUAGAUUUGUAAUUGUUUGACAGAACUUCUAGUCAUAUUAUGAGAUUGUAUGGACAACAGAGUUUGAGUUCUUUUAACCAUCUUUGAACUUUUUUUCAAACCCCAGUGACUUAUUUCAGUGCAUGAAAAUUGUCCCACCUUUCAUCCUGUCCUGACAAACUGGGAUCAUGUAAACAGCACAUUUAACCAUUAAAUUUGAUUUGCACCCUAAUUUACCUACUUAUAUUAUUUUAACUCUGUCUAACGUCAGACAAUUUUAUUAAGCAGGGGGCGCACUGACAGUUAAUGGGUAACUAGACACAUGGGCAUUGGGCAGUCUCAUUAUGAAGCGUAAAAUCGUCUGGUCACUCUGGUGUUGGACAGUAAAAUACUCAAGUAGAGCAUGCACCAGGGCACAGUAUACAACCUAAUGGUUUAAUUUGUUGUUUUUUUUGUAGCAAAAUGGUUUAAGUUUUAUAUCUGAAUUAAUUAUUGAUUUUUUGCUUUGUUUUACAGAUCAUUACUGAACAUGCUGAUGAAUUGUGACUAUACUAAAUGGAUACAAAGAGACUAUGAUGGAUAAAUAUGGCCCCGUAAUGGAUAUUCAGUUAAUGGUAUACAAAGGUCACAGAAAGUCUACUUUCAGGUAUUGUUCUUUUUUGUUUGCCUGCGAACAGGCUGUAGAUACUUGUAUCCAGGCCAUCCAUUGUUUGUUUUGUUGUUCUGGGUACAAUGAAAUCCGGCAUAAAUCCUGGCGGUCUAAAUGUUCAGUAUAUUUACACAUUCGAUCUAUUUUCUGUUCAAUAGACUUUGAUAGGCUGAACGAAAGUUUAUAACGAUGAUUUUCUUUGCAAAAACUGUACUUUCGAAAUUCAUCAGCUUCUGGAUUUGAAAAUGGAUCUGAAAAGAGAGAACAUUUGAGUGUAUGGUUAUUACCAUUUGCAUUGAAGCCUUAAGCGAAAUUACGGUUUGUUUCCAGUUUUGAGAACAUGGGUUUGCUCAAUGAAAAUUGUACGUUUGACAGGUCAAAGUUGUACGUUUGACAUUUCAAUUUUCAAAACAACACUUCGCUGGGCGGGACUUACUGUAUAUUAAAAAUAAACCUCUGGAAGGUACAGUAUUGC